rnacentral:rRNA from 1 species
UUAGGAAUAUUGGACAAUGGGCGCAAGCCUGAUCCAGCCAUGCCGCGUGAGUGAUGAAGGCCUUCGGGUUGUAAAACUCUUUAGCCGAUGAUUAUAAUGACUGUAGUCGGAAAAUAAGCCCCGGCUAACUUCGUGCCAGCAGCCGCGGUAAUACGAAGGGGGCGAGCGUUAUUCGGAAUCACUGGGCGUAAAGCGUGCGUAGGCGGUUUAGUAAGUUAGGAGUGAAAGCCCAGGGCUUAACCUUGGAAUUGCUCUUAAAACUACUAGACUUGAAUCUCGGAGAGGAUAGCGGAAUUUCCAGUGUAGCAGUGAAAUGCGUAGAUAUUGGAAGGACACCAGUGGCGUAAGCGGCUAUCUGGACGAGUAUUGACGCUGAGGCACGAAAGCGUGGGGAUCAAACAGGAUUAGAUACCCUGGUAGUCCACGCCGUAAACGAUGUGUGCUUGUCGCUGGGGAGUUCACUCUUCGGUGACGCAGCUAACGCGUUAAGCACACCGCCUGGGGAAGUACGGCCGCAAGGUUAAACUCAAAGGAAUUGACGGGGUCAUAGCUGUUUCCUG